rnacentral:rRNA from 1 species
AGAGUUUGAUCCUGGCUCAGGAUGAACGCUGGCGGUAUGCUUAACACAUGCAAGUCGAACGGGAUCUUAGGAUCUAGUGGCGGACGGGUGAGUAACGCGUGAGAAUCUGGCUUCAGGUCGGGGACAACAGUUGGAAACGACUGCUAAUACCGGAUGUGCCGAAAGGUGAAAGAUUUAUUGCCUGAAGAUGAGCUCGCGUCUGAUUAGCUAGUUGGUAGUGUAAGAGACUACCAAGGCGACGAUCAGUAGCUGGUCUGAGAGGAUGAUCAGCCACACUGGGACUGAGACACGGCCCAGACUCCUACGGGAGGCAGCAGUGGGGAAUAUUGGACAAUGGGCGAAAGCCUGAUCCAGCAAUGCCGCGUGUGUGAAGAAGGCCUGCGGGUUGUAAAGCACUUUCAGUGGGGAAGAAAGGUGGGAGGUUAAUACCCUUCUGCAUUGACGGUACCUGAGGAAUAAGCAUCGGCUAACUCCGUGCCAGCAGCCGCGGUAAUACGGAGGAUGCAAGCGUUAUCCGGAAUGAUUGGGCGUAAAGGGUCCGCAGGUGGAACUGAAAGUCUGCUGUUAAAGAAUCUGGCUCAACCAGAUAAAAGCAGUGGAAACUACAGAACUAGAGUACGUUCGGGGCAGAAGGAAUUCCUAGUGUAGCGGUGAAAUGCGUAGAUAUUAGGAAGAACACCGGUGGCGAAAGCGUUCUGCUAGGCCGUAACUGACACUGAGGGACAAAAGCUAGGGGAGCGAAUGGGAUUAGAUACCCCAGUAGUCCUAGCUGUAAACGACGGAUACUAGGCGUGGCUUGUAUCGACCCGAGCCGUGCCGUAGCUAACGCGUUAAGUAUCCCGCCUGGGGAGUACGCACGCAAGUGUGAAACUCAAAGGAAUUGACGGGGGCCCGCACAAGCGGUGGAGUAUGUGGUUUAAUUCGAUGCAACGCGAAGAACCUUACCAAGGCUUGACAUCCUGCGAAUCUUUCUGAAAGGAGAGAGUGCCUUCGGGAGCGCAGAGACAGGUGGUGCAUGGCUGUCGUCAGCUCGUGUCGUGAGAUGUUGGGUUAAGUCCCGCAACGAGCGCAACCCUCGUUUUUAGUUGCCAGCAUUAAGUUGGGCACUCUAGAGAGACUGCCGGUGACAAACCGGAGGAAGGUGAGGAUGACGUCAAGUCAGCAUGCCCCUUACGCCUUGGGCUACACACGUACUACAAUGCUACGGACAAAGGGCAGCUACACAGCGAUGUGAUGCAAAUCUCAUAAACCGUAGCUCAGUUCAGAUCGAAGGCUGCAACUCGCCUUCGUGAAGGAGGAAUCGCUAGUAAUUGCAGGUCAGCAUACUGCAGUGAAUUCGUUCCCGGGCCUUGUACACACCGCCCGUCACACCAUGGAAGUUGGUCACGCCCGAAGUCAUUACCCCAACCGAAAGGAGGGGGAUGCCGAAGGUAGGACUGGUGACUGGGGUGAAGUCGUAACAAGGUA